UACGUAGGGGGGCUAGCGUUGUCCGGAUUUAUUGGGCGUAAAGAGCGUGUAGGCGGCCAGGUAGGUCUGGUGUGAAAACUCGAGGCUUAACCUCGAGAUGUCAUCGGGAAACCAUUUGGCUAGAGUCCGGAAGAGGAGAGUGGAAUUCCUGGUGUAGCGGUGAAAUUCGUAGAUAUUCGCAAGAACACCAGUGGCGAAGGCGGCUCACUGGCC
rnacentral:rRNA from 1 species